rnacentral:rRNA from 1 species
AGACGUCUACAUUAGAUACCCUGUAGUCCCAGCCGUAAACUAUGCGCGUUAGGUGUAUCGGUGACCACGAGUUACCGAGGUGCCGAAGGGAAACCGUGAAACGUGCCGCCUGGGAAGUACGGUCGCAAGGCUGAAACUUAAAGGAAUUGGCGGGGAGCACCACAACAGGUGGAGCCUGCGGUUUAAUUGGAUUCAACGCCGGACAUCUCACCGGAUAAGACAGCUGAAUGAUUGUCGGGCUGAAGACUCUGCAUGACUAGCUG